GACGAACGCUGGCGGCGUGCUUAACACAUGCAAGUCGAACGAUGAAGCUAGAGCUUGCUCUGGUGAAUUAGUGGCGAACGGGUGAGUAACACGUGAGUAACCUGCCCCGAACUCUGGGAUAACUGCUGGAAACGGUAGCUAAUACUGGAUACGACCUACGAAGGCAUCUUCUGUAGGUGGAAAGAAUUUCGGUUCGGGAUGGACUCGCGGCCUUUCAGCUUGUUGGUGAGGUGAUGGCUCACCAAGGCGACGACGGGUAGCCGGCCUGAGGGGGUGACCGGCCACGCUGGGACUGAGACACGGCCCAGACUCCUACGGGAGGCAGCAGUGGGGAAUAUUGCACAAUGGGCGCAAGCCUGAUGCAGCAACGCCGCGUGAGGGAUGACGGCCUUCGGGUUGUAAACCUCUUUUAGUAGGGAAGAAGCGAAAGUGACGGUACCUGCAGAAAAAGCACCGGCUAACUACGUGCCAGCCGCCGCAGUAA
rnacentral:rRNA from 1 species